UAUAAAAUCCAUCAUCCGCCGCUACGAAAACCUAAUAGUACUAGAUACAUGUCAAAAGAGAAUCUAGAGCGCCUCCCAAAAUGCAGUGAAGAUUUAGGGUUGAUUCUCGCCGCCGCCGCCUUGGUUGGGGAUUUACGAGGCAGCAGAAUUGGUGGCCAUGGAACUGUGUGAGUCUAAUGAAGUUCAUAUCAAUUGAUAUUGUUUGCAAGGAGGAAUUUAGGAUUAAAUUCUCUCCUAAUUUAAUUAUUUAAUAUUGAUCAGUGGGAAUAUUAAGAACGUAUCUCGCACAUAUAUUAAUAAUGAUCAAAGACAAUUUUUUAUAUAUAUUAGUAAUGACUAAGAGGAACAUUAUCAAUUUAUAUAAUUUGAGAAUAGUUAGAUUUUAAGAUGAUUUGGGUGUUGUAGUUUGAUUGAGAAGAUAUAUAUUAGAUUUGGAGAUAUUAAGAUGGCUUGGAUGUUGUAAUUUGAUGAAGAAGUGAUAUAUAUAAAGAGAAGUUGAUAGAUUGAAACUUUUGUAUAGUUUUUUUAAAUCUUGUUGCUAAACAAUUCUAUGUAGAUAGUUAUUUUGUUAGAUGGUAAUUGUAUGUAGCUUGGAUAUUCUUAUAGUUAAUUACUUAUAAUCUUGUAUUUUGUUGGAUGGUAAU